CCCAACCCUAUAUGGGUUUUGGGUAUGAAAAUGAAGUUUAUAGGCCGUGUGGAGCACUGCAGAGUGAGUUGGAGCUGAAAGAGCAAAUCUCGAGCCUGGAAUCAUUCCUGGGUUUGGAGCCUGAUGAGACUACUAUUCAGCUGAGUGGAAACGGUGAGCCUGACUCAGUGGACCUUUGGAUGCUUGAUGACCUCGUGACACAUCAUCAGCAACAGCGCCAGCUUGCUUAUUAGAGGAAAAACAAAACAAACUACUAAUAAAUCAUGUUUAUGUGUUAAUUAGGGGUUUUUAAGUACUUAUCC
rnacentral:lncRNA from 1 species